UCAUUUUGCAGCUCUUUUAUAAUUUGUCUAAUAGGUUUUCUGGCUUUCGCCAGAGGACCCUC
rnacentral:snRNA from 1 species